GAUGCGUGUCCUUAAUAGAAAAUGCAGUGUUUAGCUAACACAAGACGCAUGAGGUUGAAAAGCGGAUGCAAUUUCCGGCACGUAUC
rnacentral:ncRNA from 1 species